UACGUAGGCAGCAAGCGUUGUUCGGAAUUACUGGGCGUAAAGAGUGUGUAGGCGGUGCUCUAAGUUCGGUGUGAAAUCUCCCGGCUCAACUGGGAGGGUGCGCCGGAAACUGGAGUGCUGGAGCGCGGGAGAGGGAAAGCGGAAGUUCCUGGUGUAGCGGUGAAAUGCGUAGAUAUCAGGAGGAACACCCGGCGGUGUAGACGGCUUUCUGGACCGUAGCCUGACGCUGAGACACGAAAGACGUGGGUAGCAAACAGG
rnacentral:rRNA from 1 species